GAUGAACGCUGGCGGCGUGCCUAAUACAUGCAAGUCGAGCGAACAGACGAGGAGCUUGCUCCUCUGACGUUAGCGGCGGACGGGUGAGUAACACGUGGAUAACCUACCUAUAAGACUGGGAUAACUUCGGGAAACCGGAGCUAAUACCGUAUAACAUGUUGAACCGCAUGGUUCAACAGUGAAAGACGGUCUUGCUGUCACUUAUAGAUGGAUCCGCGCCGCAUUAGCUAGUUGGUAAGGUAACGGCUUACCAAGGCAACGAUGCGUAGCCGACCUGAGAGGGUGAUCGGCCACACUGGAACUGAAACACGGUCCAGACUCCUACGGGAGGCAGCAGUAGGGAAUCUUCCGCAAUGGGCGAAAGCCUGACGGAGCAACGCCGCGUGAGUGAAGAAGGUCUUCGGAUCGUAAAACUCUGUUAUUAGGGAAGAACAAAUGUGUAAGUAACUAUGCACGUCUUGACGGUACCUAAUCAGAAAGCCACGGCUAACUACGUG
rnacentral:rRNA from 1 species